UACGUAGGGGGCUAGCGUUGUCCGGAUUUAUUGGGCGUAAAGAGCGUGUAGGCGGCCUGACAGGUCUGCUGUGAAAACUCGAGGCUCAACCUCGAGAUGUCGGCGGAAACCACUUGGCUAGAGUCCGGAAGAGGAGAGUGGAAUUCCCGGUGUAGCGGUGAAAUGCGCAGAUAUCGGGAAGAACACCUAUGGCGAAGGCAGCUCUCUGGGACGGUACUGACGCUGAGACGCGAAAGCGUGGGGAGCGAACAGG
rnacentral:rRNA from 1 species